rnacentral:rRNA from 1 species
GAGGCCUGCCUGCCCAGUGACAAACGUUCAACGGCCGCGGUAUCCUGACCGUGCAAAGGUAGCAUAAUCACUUGUUCCUUAAUUGGGGACUGGAAUGAAUGGCCUCACGAGGAUUCAACUGUCUCUUACCUCUAAUCAGUGAAAUUGACCUCCCCGUGAAGAGGCGGGGAUACAACAACAAGACGAGAAGACCCUAUGGAGCUUUAAUUUUCUGUCUUAACUACUAAAUAACUAACCCUACUGGGAUAAAAAAAAAGAGAAAUAAGUCAGUAAUUUCGGUUGGGGUGACCUCGGAGAAUAAAACAACCUCCGAAUGAUUUUAACCAAGACAAACAAGUCCAAAGUAUUAAAAAUCAAAUUGACCCAUUCAUUUGAUCAACGGACCAAGUUACCCUAGGGAUAACAGCGCAAUCCUAUUCAAGAGUCCAUAUCGACAAUUAGGGUUUACGACCUCGAUGUUGGAUCAGGACAUCCCAAUGGUGCAGCAGCUAUUAACGGUUCGUUUGUUCAACGAUUAAAGUCCUACGUGAUCUG